rnacentral:rRNA from 1 species
CCGGCACGGGUGAGUAACACGUAUCCAACCUGCCGUCUACUCUUGGCCAGCUCUGAAGGAAGAUUAAUCCAGGAUGGCAUCAUGAGUUCACAUGUCCGCAUGAUUAAAGGUAUUUUCCGGUAGACGAUGGGGAUGCGUUCCAUUAGAUAGUAGGCGGGGUAACGGCCCACCUAGUCAACGAUGGAUAGGGGUUCUGAGAGGAAGGUCCCCCACAUUGGAACUGAGACACGGUCCAA